GUCUAUGGCCAUACCACCCUGAACAUGUCUGAUCUUGUCUAAUCCCAGAAGCUAAGCAGAGUCGGAGCUGGUUUGUACUUGGAUGGGAGGCUGCCUGGGAAUACUAUGUGCUGUAGACU
ensembl:rRNA 5S_rRNA 5S ribosomal RNA